rnacentral:rRNA from 1 species
UAGAGCGGCGGACGGGUGAGUAACACGUGGACAAUCUGCCCCCCGGCCCGGGAUAGCCCAGGGAAACCUGGAUUAAUACCGGAUGAGACGGGACCCGCGAAGGCGGGACCCGGAAAGGCGCUGCGGCGCCGCCGGGGGAUGAGUCUGCGUCCCAUUAGCUAGACGCGGGGUAACGGCCCACCGUGGCGACGAUGGGUAGCCGGCCUGAGAGGGUGGACGGCCACAUUGGAACUGAGACACGGUCCAGACUCCUACGGGAGGCAGCAGCUAAGAAUCUUCCGCAAUGGGCGAAAGCCUGACGGAGCGACGCCCGCGUGAACGAAGAAGGCCGUGAGGUUGUAAAGUUCUUUUCGGGAGGGGGAACAACCGUGGCAGGGAAUGGCCGCGGGAUGACGUGAAUCCCGGAAUAAGCCCCGGCUAACUACGUGCCAGCCGCAGC